GACGAACGCUGGCGGCGUGCUUAACACAUGCAAGUCGAACGGAAAGGCCCUGCUUUUGUGGGGUGCUCGAGAGGCGAACGGGUGAGUAACACGUGAGUAACCUGCCCUUGACUUUGGGAUAACUUCAGGAAACUGGGGCUAAUACCGGAUAGGAGCUCCUGCUGCAUGGUGGGGGUUGGAAAGUUUCGGCGGUUGGGGAUGGACUCGCGGCUUAUCAGCUUGUUGGUGGGGUAGUGGCUUACCAAGGCUUUGACGGGUAACCGGCCUGAGAGGGUGACCGGCCACAUUGGGACUGAGAUACGGCCCAGACUCCUACGGGAGGCAGCAGUGGGGAAUAUUGCACAAUGGGCGGAAGCCUGAUGCAGCAACGCCGCGUGCGGGAUGACGGCCUUCGGGUUGUAAACCGCUUUCGCCUGUGACGAAGCGUGAGUGACGGUAAUGGGUAAAGAAGCACCGGCUAACUACGUG
rnacentral:rRNA from 1 species